rnacentral:rRNA from 1 species
CCUACGGGAGGCAGCAGUGAGGAAUAUUGGUCAAUGGCCGCAAGUCUGAACCAGCCAAGCCGCGUGCAGGACGACGGCUCCAUGCGUUGUAAACUGCUUUUGUAAGGGGAUAAACGCAGACUCGCGUAUCUGUCUGAAAGUAUUGUAAGAAUAAGCAUCGGCUAACUCCGUGCCAGCAGCCGCGGUAAUACGGAGGAUUCAAGCGUUAUCCGGAUUUAUUGGGUUUAAAGGGUGCGUUGGCGGGCGGUUAAGUUAGCGGUGAAAUCCCGGGGCUCAACUCCGGCAGUGCCUUUGAUACUGGUCGGCUUGAGAGUACGUGAGGUAGGCGGAAUGUGUGGUGUAGCGGUGAAAUGCUUAGAGAUCGUGCAGAACACCGAUUGCGAAGGCAGCUUACC